rnacentral:rRNA from 1 species
UACAAAGGGGGCUAGCUUUGCUCGGAAUCACUGGGCGUAAAGGGUGCGUAGGUGGGUCUUUAAGUCAGGGGUGAAAUCCUGGAGCUCAACUCCAGAACUGCCUUUGAUACUGAGGAUCUUGAGUUCGGGAGAGGUGAGUGGAACUGCGAGUGUAGAGGUGAAAUUCGUAGAUAUUCGCAAGAACACCAGUGGCGAAGGCGGCUCACUGGCCCGAUACUGACGCUGAGGCACGAAAGCGUGGGAAGCAAACAGG